AGUGAACGCUGGCGGUAGGCCUAACACAUGCAAGUCGAACGGCAGCACAGUAAGAGCUUGCUCUUACGGGUGGCGAGUGGCGGACGGGUGAGGAAUACAUCGGAAUCUACUUUUUCGUGGGGGAUAACGUAGGGAAACUUACGCUAAUACCGCAUACGACCUACGGGUGAAAGCAGGGGAUCUUCGGACCUUGUGCGAUUGAAUGAGCCGAUGUCGGAUUAGCUAGUUGGCGGGGUAAAGGCCCACCAAGGCGACGAUCCGUAGCUGGUCUGAGAGGAUGAUCAGCCACACUGGAACUGAGACACGGUCCAGACUCCUACGGGAGGCAGCAGUGGGGAAUAUUGGACAAUGGGCGCAAGCCUGAUCCAGCAAUACCGCGUGGGUGAAGAAGGACUUCGGGUUGUAAAGCCCUUUUGUUGGGAAAGAAGAGCAGCAGGUUAAUACCCCGCUGUUCUGACGGUACCCAAAGAAUAAGCACCGGCUAACUACGUG
rnacentral:rRNA from 1 species